GACGAACGCUGGCGGCGUGCCUAAUACAUGCAAGUAGAACGCUGAAGGAGGAGCUUGCUCUUCUGGAUGAGUUGCGAACGGGUGAGUAACGCGUAGGUAACCUGCCUGGUAGCGGGGGAUAACUAUUGGAAACGAUAGCUAAUACCGCAUAAGAGUAGAUGUUGCAUGACAUUUACUUAAAAGGUGCAAUUGCAUCACUACCAGAUGGACCUGCGUUGUAUUAGCUAGUUGGUGGGGUAACGGCUUACCAAGGCGACGAUACAUAGCCGACCUGAGAGGGUGAUCGGCCACACUGGGACUGAGACACGGCCCAGACUCCUACGGGAGGCAGCAGUAGGGAAUCUUCGGCAAUGGACGGAAGUCUGACCGAGCAACGCCGCGUGAGUGAAGAAGGGUUUCGGAUCGUAAAGCUCUGUUGUAAGAGAAGAACGAGUGUGAGAGUGGAAAGUUCACACUGUGACGGUAGCUUACCAGAAAGGGACGGCUAACUACGUG
rnacentral:rRNA from 1 species